GGUCUCUCAGCUCUGAUCAGUUGCACGUUUCGGAGUUGUGUGAUUGUCUUUUUAUGAGAGAGACACAGCAAAUGAGCUUUGUAUGCACGGCAGGUUGUCCUCCAAGUGGUCUUCCUGUUCCUGUUUUUAAGUUCAACAAAU